UCCUCCUCCUCCUCCUCCUCCAACAGCAGCAACCUCCCGGCCCCCUUCCGCCCCCGCCUCAUCCGCAACACCCCCGUCUUCGCCGCCCCCGUCGCCCCCGCCGCGAUGGACGCCGCCGUCGACCGCCUCAAGGAUGGGUUCGCCAAGUUCAAGACCGAGUUCUAUGACAAGAAGCCGGAGCUCUUCGAGCCGCUCAAGGCCGGCCAGGCACCCAAGUACAUGGUGUUCUCGUGCGCCGACUCUCGCGUGUGCCCGUCGGUGACCAUGGGCCUGGAGCCCGGCGAGGCCUUCACCGUCCGCAACAUCGCCAACAUGGUCCCAGCUUACUGCAAGAUCAAGCACGCUGGCGUCGGGUCGGCCAUCGAGUACGCCGUCUGCGCCCUCAAGGUCGAACUCAUCGUGGUGAUUGGCCACAGCCGCUGCGGUGGAAUCAAGGCCCUCCUCUCACUCAAGGAUGGAGCACCAGACUCCUUCCACUUCGUCGAGGACUGGGUCAGGACCGGUUUCCCCGCCAAGAAGAAGGUUCAGACCGAGCACGCCUCGCUGCCUUUCGAUGACCAAUGCGCCAUCUUGGAGAAGGAGGCCGUGAACCAAUCCCUGGAGAACCUCAAGACCUACCCGUUCGUCAAGGAGGGGAUCGCCAACGGCACCCUCAAGCUCGUCGGCGGCCACUACGACUUCGUCUCCGGCAACUUGGACUUAUGGGAGCCCUAAAUCCGACCGUCCGUCCGUUCAGUUCGUCAGUUUACGCCAACGCUUUUGCAUAAGUACUACCUGAGGAUAUCGUCCCCGAUCAUCGAUGUGAACGCGUGGAGUACUACUACGUACGUACCGGAUGGUUCGAUAUAUGUGAAUGCUGUAUUAAGUAAUAACAAGAAAUAUAUCUCCUCUACUUUUUCCUGACGCGGAGUUGUACUGCCUAUGAUGCAUAAUUUGAUCGCAGUGUGAUCAAAAGACAUCAG
rnacentral:misc_RNA from 1 species